AAAAAAAAAAAAAAAAAAAAAGACCUGCAAGCGCCAGUGGAAGCUAGGUGUGCAGACUGACUUUCUUUUGCAAUUUGCCAUACCUUCCUUCUGCCACCUGGAAAAAAUCACUCUUAGUUGUGCAAAUGGGAAGGCAACUGGCACAAAUUCUAUGCAUACACAGACACACAACACGUAAGUCCAGGACUCCCUGGGUGUGUCAUGACUAUACCCCUGGUGCCUGGCACAAUGCCUGGUGUACAGCAGGUGAUCAGUACAUAUUUUUGAAAUGGAUGAAUGAAUGUAAACAUUUCUCCCCAUCUUAAGCCAAAUGGGUAGGCUCAUUACUAUUAAAAGAUUGCCAACCUCUGUCUCAGACCUAUUGCAGAAGUGAUGUCAAAGUAGCAUUUUUA
rnacentral:lncRNA from 10 species